GCUUGACCUCGGAUCAGGUAGGGAUACCCGCUGAACUUAAGCAUAUCAA
rnacentral:rRNA from 1 species